rnacentral:rRNA from 1 species
UUGACGGAAGGGCACCACCAGGAGUGCA